UCCCUGGUGGUCUAGUGGUUAGGACUUGGCAUCUUUACUGCCACAGCCCGGGGUUCAAUCCCUAGUCUGGGAA
rnacentral:tRNA from 1 species